rnacentral:misc_RNA from 1 species
GUGAAUCAUCGAAUUUUUGAACGCAAAUUGCACUCUCUGGUAUUCCGGAACGUGUGCCUGUUUGAGGGUAAGAUAAAUCAACAUAGGUGUUGUUACUGCGUUUCGUGGUGACGCGUUGGGAUUGAGUUGUAUUACUUUCGGUUAAGUGGCUUAAAAUUUUGUUUGCUUUUCGACCGAAUUUAAUUUUCUUACGUUACAUUGAGAUAU